rnacentral:lncRNA from 1 species
UUACAUGUAUAAAUACACGCCCCACUGAGUUGUAGUAGUUGAUUGUCUGAAACAAAUAAAUAUACAUACAAAUAAGUUAUAAGUAUCCUGUGAUGAAGCUGAAGGCAUGUAUGAGUUUAGUUUUGCUGUUUCUAGUAGCUUUGUGUUUCUUCACUAGUAUCAGUCAUGGAAUUUCAACCUCACGAUUCACUGACCGGCUUAUUAGCAACAGCAAUUAUCUCACCACUACGCCUCUCUGGCUCAAUCAGUCUCUUGAUCACUUCUCGCCCUAUGUAAUCUCUCUC